ACCGCUUUUUAAACGUUACAUUUUCAACGUUGAAUAAGCGUAUAAAUUUAAACGUAUCUUAUCUUCUCAAAAAAAUGCGUUUAUUAAACGUUGAAUAUAAGUACGCAAAUAAUCACUGUAAAAACGUCGCAAAGGUAAUAGUUUAUCAACGUUAGACAUUAGCUGCUUUUUCAACGAAUUUAAACUAUUUGAAAAACAACACUUAUUCAACGUUAUUUCAACUUUGGUUGAAAAUGUGGUAAUUAAAAAACGUUGAAAAAGUGUUACUUUGCCAACGUUAAUAAAACGUUGUUUUGACAAUGUUGAGGAAGUGGCACAUUGAAAAUUAAUGUCUCAAUAACUAGCCAUUACAAAAAUAAUUUGCUGUAAUGGAAAGGCAAGGAAAACUUAAUAGAAUGCAUGCAUAUGGUUUGAAGCAGAGGCAGUUGCUCCAUUUUGUUCGAAAAAAGAUGGAUGGUUAUUUUGACCAACUUGUGUUCAUGCAAUGAAAGCUACCUAUAAUAAUUUUCCAAUCAUUGAUUCCUGCAACAAGCUUAGACUUAAAAGAGUUAAAGUAACUGUUUUUACAUAAUUUUGUUUAUAUUUAUUUUACUAAAUAAUUACUAAUAGAUAAAGAAGUAUGUGCAGGAUUUAAUUUCACGACUAAAGAGGACUCCGAAGAAGAAUUAAAGUUCUGGUGGAUCAAAGAUCGAGGAAUGAUUUGGUUUUAACUGGUUUGCAUCUUAUGAACGAAGUGCAUAAUAUGAUUUAAAUUGAUGAUUUAUAGUUACACCUAUAGAAGUUCUGUAUCUCAAUGAUAUCCUGGCUUAUCGAUACGAUAUCCUGUAAAUCCACUCACACA